AUACUCGGAUGCCCCACCACCAAAAAUGCUGCCAAAUUUAUAGGUGCCUGAUCCCGGAGUGUUGUUAUCCAUGAUCCCUACGAUGACAGGCCUGAUAACUAACCUGAUAAGAUGAAACUAAUGCGAACAGCUGGAUCUUUUGGGCAGAUUCCAGCACUGAGGAGACAGCGUGGGGGUCCAGACUGGAGCCAGACUACAGAUUCCCCCCUCCUGAGAGUGGGAAGGAAGGGCAGGAAGAGCAGCAAGAUGAGGAGAGGAAGAGGAGUGGAGAAGUAUACAAAGGGGAGUGGGACAUAGACCAGCAUGCAACACCACCCUGCUGCCCCAGCCCAUCUUCUUUCAUGUUUCUUUUUACUUAUUUUAAUUCUAUUCAUUAAUAAAGAUGAGUGCAUUUCUCAGAAAUCA